rnacentral:lncRNA from 1 species
GGAAGGCUCGGUUGGGUCCCCGUGACCACAGGCUCGAGGCUGGCGACGGCUGCUCCUUGCGUUUGUCUUCCAUCCCGAUGGAAGAGCUUUCCGGGAAGCCCCUCAGUUGUGCGGAGAAGGAAAAGUUGAAGGAAAAGCUAGCAUUUUUGAGAAAGGAAUACACCAAGACACUUGCUCGCCUACAGCGUGCCAAAAGAGCUGAGAAGGUUAAGAACUCUAAGAAAGCAAUAGAAGAUUGUGUGCCCCAGCAGGAAAUCUCCCCACAGCUAAGCCGCUCUGAACCUAUAAAUAAAGGCUUUCCUUGUGACGCUUCGUUACAAAGCGACCAUCUUGAUGAGGAGACUGGAGAAAACAUCUCUCAGAUACUUGAUGGUGAUCCUCAGUCCUUUAA